rnacentral:tRNA from 1 species
GGCGAGAUGGCCGAGCGGUCUAAGGCGCCAGACCAAGGACCAGGACAUUUGUCGUCCAUUUCAUCUGGUCCGAAAGGGCGUGGGUUCGAAUCCCACUCUCGUCA